GUUUAAGACUUGGACGUGACGUUGCUGGAACUGAGAGGCAAUGGUGUUAACUGCUGAACCACAAUGCCAUCAAAUAAGUCUCCUCUGGCUGCAAUAACAUUUGACUCUUUUGUGACCUUCAAUCCAGAAUUUUUCCUCAUGCGCAGUCUUCCCAUCCACAUGUCUGUGAGGAGCAUCUGGCUACAGACCUUGCAGAAGGAAGAGACACCCACUGACACCCUGAUACUCAAGAAUGGCAAACGGUAAGUGUUAAUAAUUCUUUGUAUUUAUAUAGCGCUUUUCUCACUACUCAAAGCGCUUAGCAAUUGCAGAUUAAGGGCCUUGCUCAAGGGCCCAACAGAGCAGAGUCCCUUUUGGCAUUUUACGGGAUUCGAACCGGCAACUGUCCAGUGCAGAUCCCUAGCCUCAGAGCCACCACUCCGCCUCUCUUAAUGAGAACAUUGACCUUAUUAUUGUCAAGGAAAGGACAGAAAAUUCUGAAUAACUGUUGUUCCUUGUUGCAAUGCCUCCCUUAAAAGAUGCCAGGGCAAUUGAAAGGACUGCAUUAAUUCUUAAAGGCCCCAGUGGUUAAGAAGGUUCACAAAG